UCCAGGAUUUUAACACAACAUUUUGUAAAUUGUGACACACACCUUCUCAUACCGCAUCUGCUUCUCUCACAGAGCAAGUGGGUCAGGAGAUUCUUUCCAACCUGCACAGUGACCGUGAGAAGAUCCAAAGAGCCAGAGAAAGGCUGAGAGAAACAGACGCCAACCUGGGCAAGAGUUCUCGCAUCCUUACCGGCAUGCUGAGAAGGAUCAUCCAGAAUCGCGUCCUGGUCUUCAUCCUCGGAGCCAUCAUCCUUCUCACCAUAAUCCUGGCCAUCUAUUUCAAUAUGCGGGGCCACUGAUCUCCCCUCUACACACAUAUACACUCGCCCCCCACCUCCCCGACACAAAUACAAAUACACACACACACACACGUGUGAUUAAUAGCGACAAAAGCGUUGUUCUGCUGUAAUUUGGACAAAUGGUCCCCAUGAAUCACUGUUUCCAAAGCCUGACAGGGAGCUUUUUUCCAGCUCUUUCUCCUUUCCUGUUUCUUUCUCCCUUUCUUUCCCUCUCUGUACCUUUUGUUUCCACUCUGCGCUUCUCUUUCUUUCUUUCUUUUCUCCACUCAGUCCUGUCCUCUCUCUGCUCGGCUCACUCUUACAUCUCCAGGGACAAGAAUAGAGGGGAGAUGUUUUAUGAUAGUUAAUAUUUUUCAUGGUAUCGUCCUCGGUGUGGUUUUGCAGCCCAUCCUGUCCCCAGGUGAACAAGGCCUGGGGAUUUUUUCCCCAACUCAAAGCAGAUAUGUAGAUUUUUUUUUCUGUGAUGGAGGUAGGUCAAGUGUUAUUCAGGAUGUGUGUGUGCAUGCAUGAGUGACAGAGAAGAAGAGAUACGAGUGUUGUGCACAUGUAUGCAUGUUCACAUGUGCAUGAGUGACAGUCAUGGGUUGAGGGCCCGCACGGUGUUUGUUAUUAACAUCAACAGUAGACACACAAACUGCAGUAUGUAUGAGCUUCUGUAACUAAAUGAUUCAGCUGAUCUUCAUGUAGCCCCUACACAUCACAGAGGACAGUGCCUUCAGAUAAGAAAUGCUGUUCACAACAUCUUUAAAAAGUUCAACAGAGCCCAAAAUAGACAAGUGGCGCUGCCUUAGAAAGAGGAUGCACAUAAAAAGGUUGAGGUCAGUUCAACUUAAGUGUAGUCGAUCAAGGUGAAAGUUUUGUUUGUUUUUAUAAAGAGGAAACUGUUUAGUUUCAAUUACUGUGUUCAGGAAAGGAUAUAUGAACAUUUUAAUAGAAUUUGGAGAUUGAAAAGAUAAAAUAAAACAUACUCUUUCAAUAUGUUUUUAAUACAAAAUGGAACUGACCCCAACCUUGGCAUAUACAAUACAUACUAAAAUACAGAGAAAGGUUCAGACAUCAUAACCAUCUUUAUUAUACACAUUUGGUAAAAUUCCCCUGCACCUCCCAAACACAGAUUUCCACAAUUCAUUCCCAUGGACAUUUAGCAUAACUACCAUUGUGGAAAAGUAUAGACAUCAUACUGUAUGUACUAACAUUUAAAACUACAUAAUGUAUAGUGUUUUGCUCUCAAUACAAGUGAUUCUGUUACUAUUUAUUUAUAAAUGCAUAAAUGAGUUUUGAAUUAAAGUUUCUGUACAAGAACUGUUUAUUUUAUGAAGUUAAGGUGUAUUCAAAAUUAACAUUAGCAACAUGUUAUUUUUUUUCUUGUUCUCGUUCAGUGAUUAGACUAAAAUGCAGACUGUACACCAGGACCAACUGAAAUGUGUAGAUUUCAAGUUUUGUGUCUUAAAGUUUUUUUUUCUUCUUCUUCUGUUCUUUUAAAUGGAUCUAACUUGUUUUAGAACUUGUACUUUUUGUUCUAUAUUUUUCUUGUCAAGUUCUGAAGAUUGUGAUGCAGUUCUUGUUUCUGUGUUUAUCUGUACGCUGAUUGAUGAUGUGAUACAUCUGCAGGUGUUUGAAAAAAAAUGUGUGCGUGAGUUUA